CACGUAGGGUGCGAGCGUUGUCCGGAAUUAUUGGGCGUAAAGAGCUCGUAGGCGGUGUGUCGCGUCGGCCGUGAAACCUGCAGCUUAACUGUGGCUUGCGGUCGAUACGGGCAUCACUGGAGUUCGGCAGGGGAGACUGGAAUUCCUGGUGUAGCGGUGAAAUGCGCAGAUAUCAGGAGGAACACCGGUGGCGAGGGCGGGUCUCUGGGCCGAUACUGACGCUGAGGAGCGAAAGCGUGGGGAGCGAACAGG
rnacentral:rRNA from 1 species